UACGUAGGGUGCGAGCGUUGCCCGGAUUUAUUGGGCGUAAAGGGCGCGUAGGCGGCUCUGCACGUCCGUUGUGAAAUCGCCCGGCUCAACUGGGCGGGGUCAGCGGAUACGGCAGAGCUCGAGCAAGAUAGGGGGCAAUGGAAUUCCCGGUGUAGUGGUGGAAUGCGUAGAUAUCGGGAGGAACACCGGUGGCGAAGGCGGCCUUCUGGACGGUGACUGACGCUGAGGCGCGAAAGCGUGGGGAGCAAACGGG
rnacentral:rRNA from 1 species